rnacentral:tRNA from 1 species
GCCUGGGUGGCUCAGUCGGUUAAGCGUCUGACUUCAGCUCAGGUCACGAUCUCACGGUUUGUGAGUUCGAGCCCCAUGUCGGGCU